rnacentral:rRNA from 1 species
AUUGAACGCUGGCGGCAGGCCUAACACAUGCAAGUCGAGCGGAUGAAGGGAGCUUGCUCCUGGAUUCAGCUGCGGACGGGUGAGUAAUGCCUAGGAAUCUGCCUGGUAUUGGGGGAUAACGUCCGUAAACGGGCGCUAAUACCGCAUACGUCCUGAGUGAGAAAGUGGGGGAUCUUCGGACCUCACGCUAUCAGAUGAGCCUAGGUCGGAUUAGCUAGUUGGUGGGGUAAAGGCCUACCAAGGCGACGAUCCGUAACUGGUCUGAGAGGAUGAUCAGUCACACUGGAACUGAGACACGGUCCAGACUCCUACGGGAGGCAGCAGUGGGGAAUAUUGGACAAUGGGCGAAAGCCUGAUCCAGCCAUGCCGCGUGUGUGAAGAAGGUCUUCGGAUUGUAAAGCACUUUAAGUUGGGAGGAAGAGCAGUAAGUUAAUACCUUGCUGUUUUGACGUUACCAACAGAAUAAGCACCGGCUAACUUCGUG